UUUAACAAGAUCUCAUCGUUCAAAAAGUGCAAGAGAUACAUUUAAAAAUGCCUGUGAAGAGUAUGUAUUAAAAGCAGACUCUUGGAAAGCCGUCCCUGACAGUGCAUAUGAUGAAGAAAUAAAACAGCCAGCUGUUGUAUACGGUGUAUACCAUCUUUUAAGGCUUUUGGAAAAUUUGCCAAAAAUAUUGGCACGCUCUGAGAUAAACUAUAAAAGACUUUCAAUAGUAUAUUCAUACAGUAAUGGACUACUGAAGUACCUCUCAACUCAAACGUAUUUGUUUGGGAAUGCAUAAAAAACAAGAUGGACAGUACAGAAAAAUCAAGUGCUCCUAUUCGAAAUUGCAGAAAUCAUAAGAAUAUUUAAGGUGUUUCAAGGCAUUAUUAGUGUAAAUUAUUUAUGAACAUUAUAACUUAAUACAUUUUAACUUAUCUUUUCACUAGCAUAUAGGUACCAUUAAGAAUUUUAAAAACUUUCUUUUUUGUUUAGGUAUAAGACUUUUUAUUAUAAUAGACUAUCAAAUGCUUUUUUAUAACAAAUUAUUAAAAUUGUAUAAGUUUGAAAAUCAAAUCGAAUUUAAAUUGUAUGAUAAUAAUCAUCAAUUAUGAUGAGUAUUCAGUAUACUUAAACAAAACUAAUUAAAUGUUCUGUCUGACUAGUGACUAGAAUUUUCUUACCGUGAAGCCCAUAGCCUUCUAUUUUUAACUGUUCCA